rnacentral:lncRNA from 1 species
CAUUAAUUGACCCUGUGAGUGAUCUAGAUUUGUGGUUCUGUUUCUUAAGAUGGAAUUUAGCAAUGCCAGUUUCUGAUCUCAUUCUUGUGAAGGUUGGUGAAGCCCUCGUUGGGUUUGUUUUAAGUUUUAAAGUUUUUGAUAAACUUUGUAUUUUAAGUUUUGAGAAAUUGGUUUGGUUCUCAAAUGUGUUAUGGUGAAUCUAAAAGCUUGGCUGAUUGUGAAAUGAUAUUUUAAUCGCUGAUGUUGUGAAACUUUAUAUUUUUAAGUUUUGAGAAAUCUGAAUUUUGGGUUUGGUUCUCAAAUGUUUUAUUGUGAGUCUGGAGACUGAUUCUAUGUUGUACGUUGCCUGUUACAUCUUCCUUUUGCUCUUUGUUUGGAAUACUAUUGUUUGGAUCAUUUAAAAUGAUAUUUUCCAGUUAAUUCUGGUUUGAUUCAAAUGAAUGUGAUUGUUGCAGGUUUUGUAAUCCACGCUUUAGAGUGAAUCAAGGAAGAUGAGUCUCUCAUGGUGUUUCAGAACAAAGUGUAUAAAGGUUGUGAUUCUUGCAGGUUUUGGAUUCUUGAUUUUAAUUUAGUAAUCCCCAUUUUGAGUUUUUAAAUUGUAUAAAGGUUGUGUUUUUGUAACUUUGCAGUAUGGUAUUGGGAUCAUACGCACAUUUCAUGUGGGAAACAGAGGAGGAUGAAGUUGAUGGUGUACACUGAAGAGUAAUAAAUAUGUGUAACACAAAGAAUGUAAAAAUCUUAAAACAGAAUAAAAUGACUUCAGUAAAGCUUUUGUAUUAAAGAUUAGAUGGCUAUUUGGAAACUGAAAUUAAGAAAUUAGCUAGUUCUUUAUCGGAAUUUUGAAACUAAAGCGGAUCAUUCGUUGACUAUAUGAGAAGAACAAAAACGAGAAG